rnacentral:rRNA from 1 species
CGGGAGUGGCAAGCGUUAUCCGGAAUUAUUGGGCGUAAAGCGUCCGCAGGCGGCCCUUCAAGUCUGCUGUUAAAAAGUGGAGCUUAACUCCAUCAUGGCAGUGGAAACUGUUGGGCUUGAGUGUGGUAGGGGCAGAGGGAAUUCCCGGUGUAGCGGUGAAAUGCGUAGAUAUCGGGAAGAACACCAGUGGCGAAGGCGCUCUGCUGGGCCAUCACUGACGCUCAUGGACGAAAGCCAGGGGAGCGAAAGGGAUUAGAUACCCCUGUAGUCCUGGCCGUAAACGAUGAACACUAGGUGUCGGGGGAAUCGACCCCCUCGGUGUCGUAGCCAACGCGUUAAGUGUUCCGCCUGGGGAGUACGCACGCAAGUGUGAAACUCAAAGGAAUUGACGGGGGCCCGCACAAGCGGUGGAGUAUGUGGUUUAAUUCGAUGCAACGCGAAGAACCUUACCAGGGUUUGACAUCCUGCGAAUCUCUUGGAAACGAGAGAGUGCCUUCGGGAACGCAGUGACAGGUGGUGCAUGGCUGUCGUCAGCUCGUGUCGUGAGAUGUUGGGUUAAGUCCCGCAACGAGCGCAACCCACGUCUUUAGUUGCCAGCAUUUAGUUGGGCACUCUAGAGAGACCGCCGGUGAUAAACCGGAGGAAGGUGUGGAUGACGUCAAGUCAUCAUGCCCCUUACAUCCUGGGCUACACACGUACUACAAUGCUACGGACAAAGGGCAGCAAGUUCGCGAGGACAAGCAAAUCCCAUAAACCGUGGCUCAGUUCAGAUCGUAGGCUGCAACUCGCCUACGUGAAGGAGGAAUCGCUAGUAAUCGCAGGUCAGCAUACUGCGGUGAAUACGUUC